UGUCAGGCUCACAGAACUGAAAAUCGAGUC
rnacentral:piRNA from 1 species